UACGGAGGGGGCUAGCGUUGUUCGGAAUUACUGGGCGUAAAGCGCACGUAGGUGGCUUUGCAAGUCAGAGGUGAAAGCCCGGGGCUCAACCCCGGAAUUGCCUUUGAGACUGCAUCGCUAGAAGAUCGGAGAGGUAAGUGGAAUUCCGAGUGUAGAGGUGAAAUUCGUAGAUAUUCGGAAGAACACCAGUGGCGAAGGCGACUUACUGGACGAUUCUUGACACUGAGGUGCGAAAGCGUGGGGAGCGAACAGG
rnacentral:rRNA from 1 species